rnacentral:rRNA from 1 species
GACGAACGCUGGCGGCGUGCCUAAUACAUGCAAGUAGAACGCUGAAGGAGGAGCUUGCUUCUCUGGAUGAGUUGCGAACGGGUGAGUAACGCGUAGGUAACCUGCCUGGUAGCGGGGGAUAACUAUUGGAAACGAUAGCUAAUACCGCAUAAGAGUAGAUGUUGCAUGACAUUUGCUUAAAAGGUGCAAUUGCAUCACUACCAGAUGGACCUGCGUUGUAUUAGCUAGUUGGUGGGGUAAUGGCUCACCAAGGCGACGAUACAUAGCCGACCUGAGAGGGUGAUCGGCCACACUGGGACUGAGACACGGCCCAGACUCCUACGGGAGGCAGCAGUAGGGAAUCUUCGGCAAUGGACGGAAGGCUGACCGAGCAACGCCGCGUGAGUGAAGAAGGUUUUCGGAUCGUAAAGCUCUGUUGUAAGAGAAGAACGAGUGUGAGAGUGGAAAGUUCACACUGUGACGGUAGCUUACCAGAAAGGGACGGCUAACUACGUG